GCCUAACACAUGCAAGUCGAACGGUAACAGGAAGCAGCUUGCUGCUUUGCUGACGAGUGGCGGACGGGUGAGUAAUGUCUGGGAAACUGCCUGAUGGAGGGGGAUAACUACUGGAAACGGUAGCUAAUACCGCAUAACGUCGCAAGACCAAAGAGGGGGACCUUCGGGCCUCUUGCCAUCGGAUGUGCCCAGAUGGGAUUAGCUUGUUGGUGGGGUAACGGCUCACCAAGGCGACGAUCCCUAGCUGGUCUGAGAGGAUGACCAGCCACACUGGAACUGAGACACGGUCCAGACUCCUACGGGAGGCAGCAGUGGGGAAUAUUGCACAAUGGGCGCAAGCCUGAUGCAGCCAUGCCGCGUGUAUGAAGAAGGCCUUCGGGUUGUAAAGUACUUUCAGCGGGGAGGAAGGGAGUAAAGUUAAUACCUUUGCUCAUUGACGUUACCCGCAGAAGAAGCACCGGCUAACUCCGUGCCAGCAGCCGCGGUAAUACGGAGGGUGCAAGCGUUAAUCGGAAUUACUGGGCGUAAAGCGCACGCAGGCGGUUUGUUAAGUCAGAUGUGAAAUCCCCGGGCUCAACCUGGGAACUGCAUCUGAUACUGGCAAGCUUGAGUCUCGUAGAGGGGGGUAGAAUUCCAGGUGUAGCGGUGAAAUGCGUAGAGAUCUGGAGGAAUACCGGUGGCGAAGGCGGCCCCCUGGACGAAGACUGACGCUCAGGUGCGAAAGCGUGUGUAGCAAACAGGAUUAGAUACCCUGGUAGUCCACGCCGUAAACAAUGUCGACUUUGGAGGUUG
rnacentral:rRNA from 1 species